rnacentral:rRNA from 1 species
UCGAGCGAACAGACGAGGAGCUUGCUCCUCUGACGUUAGCGGCGGACGGGUGAGUAACACGUGGAUAACCUACCUAUAAGACUGGGAUAACUUCGGGAAACCGGAGCUAAUACCGGAUAAUAUAUUGAACCGCAUGGUUCAAUAGUGAAAGACGGUUUUGCUGUCACUUAUAGAUGGAUCCGCGCCGCAUUAGCUAGUUGGUAAGGUAACGGCUUACCAAGGCAACGAUGCGUAGCCGACCUGAGAGGGUGAUCGGCCACACUGGAACUGAGACACGGUCCAGACUCCUACGGGAGGCAGCAGUAGGGAAUCUUCCGCAAUGGGCGAAAGCCUGACGGAGCAACGCCGCGUGAGUGAUGAAGGUCUUCGGAUCGUAAAACUCUGUUAUUAGGGAAGAACAAAUGUGUAAGUAACUAUGCACAUCUUGACGGUACCUAAUCAGAAAGCCACGGCUAACUACGUGCCAGCAGCCGCGGUAAUACGUAGGUGGCAAGCGUUAUCCGGAAUUAUUGGGCGUAAAGCGCGCGUAGGCGGUUUUUUAAGUCUGAUGUGAAAGCCCACGGCUCAACCGUGGAGGGUCAUUGGAAACUGGAAAACUUGAGUGCAGAAGAGGAAAGUGGAAUUCCAUGUGUAGCGGUGAAAUGCGCAAAGAUAUGGAGGAACACCAGUGGCGAAGGCGACUUUCUGGUCUGUAACUGACGCUGAUGUGCGAAAGCGUGGGGAUCAAACAGGA